rnacentral:ncRNA from 1 species
AUAGGUUUAUUAAAAUAAUUAAAAGGGAAAAAGGUAAAAGCCUUUGCAGCCCCCGCUACUGUGAAACGGAUGAAACUAUUAUUAUGCCACUGUCUUAGAUUAAAGAUGGGAAGGAAUAGGAGUAAGAUGAUGUUGAGCCAGGAGACCUGCCUAAAUUGAUU